GAGCCUGAGAAACGGCUACCACAUCCAAGGAUGGCAGCAGGCGCGCAAAUUACCCAAUCCCGACACGGGGAGGUAGUGACAAUAAAUAACAAUACGGGGUUCUUUCGGAUCUCGUAAUUGGAAUGAGUACAAUUUAAAUCUCUUAACGAGGAACAAUUGGAGGGCAAGUCUGGUGCCAGCAGCCGCGGUAAUUCCAGCUCCAAUAGCGUAUANNNAAGUUGUUGCAGUUAAAAAGCUCGUAGUUGAAUUUCGGGGUUAGUAGGUUGGUCAUGCCUCUGGUAUGUACUGGUCUCACUGAUUCCUCCUUCCUUAUGAACCGUAAUGCCAUUAAUUUGGUGUUGCGGGGAAUUUGGACUGUUACUUUGAAAAAAUUAGAGUGUCUAAAGCAGGCUAACGCUUGAAUACAUUAGCAUGGAAUAAUGAAAUAGGACGUUCGAUCUUAUUUUGUUGGUUUCUAGGAUUGACGUAAUGAUUAAUAGGGAUAGUUGGGGGCAUUAGUAUUCAAUUGUCAGAGGUGAAAUUCUUGGAUUUAUUGAAGACUAACUACUGCGAAAGCAUUUGCCAAGGAUGUUUUCAUUAAUCAAGAACGAAAGUUAGGGGAUCGAAGACGAUCAGAUACCGUCGUAGUCUUAACCAUAAACUAUGCCGACUAGGGAUCGGAUGAUGUUAAUUUUUUAAUGACUCAUUCGGCGCCUUACGG
rnacentral:rRNA from 1 species